rnacentral:lncRNA from 1 species
CUUUGUGUAAUUACUGUAGCAGGCUACAAUUCCCUUAGAAUAUUUCAGCGAUUAUCGAUAACAAUAACUGUUAAUUUCGGUGGCGAUUCGACUCAAGUUUCGUACAUGUCACGUACUAUCGCGACAUGUCAUGAAGAUGGCGGUUGCUCGUAGCGAACCUAACGAGCUGGGGCCUCGGGCCCCAUCAACAGUAUCCUAGUACGGCAGG